GGGGAUGUAGCUCCGUUGGUAGAGUGCUUGCUUGAAAUGCAUGAAGCCUUGGGUUCCAUCCUCA
rnacentral:tRNA from 1 species